rnacentral:rRNA from 1 species
GACGAAGGAUGCAAGCGUUAUCCGGAUUCAUUGGGUUUAAAGGGAGCGUAGGUGGCCUUAUAAGUCAGCGGUGAAAUCUCUGGGCUUAACCCAGAAAUUGCCAUUGAUACUGUAGGGCUUGAGUACAGUUGCUGUGGGCGGAAUAUGACAUGUAGUGGUGAAAUACAUAGAGAUGUCAUAGAACACCGAUUGCGAAGGCAGCUCACAAAACUGUAACUGACAACUGAGGCUCGAAAGUGCGGGGAUCAAACAGG